rnacentral:lncRNA from 1 species
CAGCCUCCUCAUCACCUCCUGCACCCCGAGCUCUCUCUCUCUCUCUCUCUCCCUCUCCCUCCCUCUCUCUCCCUCUCUCCCUCUUCCUCUCCCCCUCCCCCUCCCCUUCCCCUCCCUCCCUCUCACAGAAAAUUUCUCUCUGUGCCGAAGCUGGGGAGGCCAAGGUCAAGGUGCCCACGGACAGGCAGACCUGCUGAGGACCUGCUCACUAGGGUCGCACCUUGGGAUUUUGCCCACUCAGGAAACCCAGCAGCCAGUGUAAAUCAACGCUCUCUUCCUUUCCAUCUGUGCUUCAUUGCAAGGAAGAAUCUACUCUGACAGAUGCAGCCACCUCUGCAAAAGCCCCACCUGUGACCACAAGAGGCUCUGAGGGGCCGUCCAGACCCAGCCCUGACAGGGAGUUUCCGCCCUUUGGUCAGAGGAAUGCCAGAUAAACAGCCUGUCAGUUAAGCUUAUCAACAUAGUUACAAUGUCACAGAAAAGAGAUGCCCGAUUCCCAGGCCAGUGGAGUUUCAUCUUAUUCUGAAUAAAGGCCA